rnacentral:rRNA from 1 species
GCGAACGGGUGAGUAACACGUGAGUAACCUGCCCUUAACUCUGGGAUAAGCCUGGGAAACUGGGUCUAAUACCGGAUAUGACUCCUCAUCGCAUGGUGGGGGGUGGAAAGCUUUAUUGUGGUUUUGGAUGGACUCGCGGCCUAUCAGCUUGUUGGUGAGGUAAUGGCUUACCAAGGCGACGACGGGUAGCCGGCCUGAGAGGGUGACCGGCCACACUGGGACUGAGACACGGCCCAGACUCCUACGGGAGGCAGCAGGGGGGAAUAUUGCACAAGGGGCGCAAGCCUGAUGCAGCGACCCCGCGUGAGGGAUGAAGGCCUUCGGGUUGUAAACCUCUUUCAGUAGGGAAAAAGCGAAAGUGACGGUCCCGGAAAAAAACGCCGGCUAACUACCUGCCAGCAGCCGCGUUAAUACGAGGGCGCAAGCGUUAUGCGGAAUUAUUGGGCGUAAAGAGCUCGUAGCCGGUUUUUCGCGUCUGCCGUGAAAGUCCGGGGCUCAACUCCGGAUCUGCGGUGGGUACGGGCAGACUAAAGUGAUGUAGGGAAGACUGGAAUUUC